UACGAAGGGUGCAAACGUUGCUCGGAAUUAUUGGGCGUAAAGCGCACGUAGGCGGCUAUUUAAGUCGGAUGUGAAAGCCCCUGGCUCAACUGGGGAAGUGCACCCGAAACUGAAUGGCUUGAGUGCAAAAGAGGGCCGCGGAAUUCCCGGUGUAGAGGUGAAAUUCGUAGAUAUCGGGAGGAACACCGGUGGCGAAGGCGGCGGCCUGGGUUGACACUGACGCUGAGGCGCGAAAGCGUGGGGAGCAAACAGG
rnacentral:rRNA from 1 species